UGGCCAAGGUGUACUCAUAAGUCGAAAAGGAGUUUUCGAUUUAUAUUGACUUAAUAGUGGAAUGAAAGAUAUGAUCAAUGAUCGAGAUUGACACAAUUCCAUAUCUCGUAAUUGAUCGGAUCGUAUUGACGAAGGGAUAAUAGUUUCACGGUAAACAAACGAAUUUGGUUUUGUCAUACCACGUGACAUUUCCCGUCACAUGUAUUGCCCCGACACAUUGCUAGAUGUCAAUCAGGGACGGCGAGUGUGAAUUGACG
rnacentral:lncRNA from 1 species